rnacentral:lncRNA from 1 species
UGGUAUUAAAACACUGUGGCUGAACAUAUGAUCAACAUAACAUUUAUUGGCAAACUAAAGAACACCUUAGCAGCUGAGAUCAAAACCAUUUGCACCCACCAGAUUUUAAACAUAAAUAUAGCUUAAACCUAUAUAACAAAUUGUCCCUUUUAGCUUUACAAUAGCCGCAAAUCAAUUAUGAAAAUACUUGUUGCUUAGUACAAGGAUCAACUGACAAUAUGGCAUGUCAAAUAAAAAGUGAAAUUCAAAAGAACACAUGAUUAAACCGGAAAACGGUCGAAACUGCUUUUCAAAAUCCAUCUUUCUCAUUCAUUCUUCAAUUCAAAGCUUCAACCAAACAUGUGGAGUUUCAAGGGACAUGUACCUGGAUAUAUGAAGAACAUAGAGGAGGGGUAAGAACUUAGUAGCAACAACAAACAGCCAGUACCAAUUUAGGACCAAGUUUAAACCAAGGAAAUGACACAAGAUAGUUCAGAAAUUAGCUUCAAACUUAUAGCACUCCUGCAAACAUCAACUAGACUUGCAUAGCUUGACCUCUAAACCAUUUCACUCCCCCAAUGGUCCAGGAAUAACUUCAAAGCUUAAACAAUUGUCGAUACACAGGUGAAAACAAAUAAAAUAGUCCUUUUUAUUUUUUUGUCAGCUGUUUAUACCAUUUCUUUUAUCACCGAAAUGCUUCAAAAGAUCAAACCAUUUUCAGCUCUAAAUGAAGUAGUAGAUUUAGUACUUAGACCAAAAAAUGAAGAACCAAAGCAAAUUCAAAGGGUUUCAAUGGAACAGGGCAAGCUUAGCUGCCCACUUUUGUAUUUUUAUUACAUUUCAAAA